UACGUAGGGUGCGAGCGUUGUCCGGAAUUAUUGGGCGUAAAGGGCUCGUAGGCGGUCUGUCACGUCGGGAGUGAAAACUCGGGGCUCAACCCCGAGCCUGCUUCCGAUACGGGCAGACUAGAGGUAUGCAGGGGAGAAUGGAAUUCCUGGUGUAGCGGUGAAAUGCGUAGAGAUGUGGAGGAACACCAGUGGCGAAGGCGGCUUUUUGGUCUGUAACUGACGCUGAGGCGCGAAAGCGUGGGGAGCAAACAGG
rnacentral:rRNA from 1 species